UACGGAGGGGGCUAGCGUUGUUCGGAAUCAUUGGGCGUAAAGGGCGCGUAGGCGGCCGAUCAAGUCGGAUGUGAAAUCCCUCGGCUCAACUGAGGAAUUGCCUUCGAUACUGUUCGGCUUGAGUCCUGGAGAGGGUAGCGGAAUUCCCGGUGUAGCGGUGAAAUGCGUAGAGACCGGGAAGAACACCAGUGGCGAAGGCGGCUACCUGGACAGGUACUGACGCUGAAGCGCGAAAGCUAGGGGAGCAAACAGG
rnacentral:rRNA from 1 species